UACGGAGGGUGCAAGCGUUACUCGGAAUCACUGGGCGUAAAGGAUGCGUAGGCUGGAGAUCAAGUCGAGAGUGAAAUCCAACGGCUCAACCGUUGAACUGCUCUCGAAACUGGUCUUCUAGAAUAUGGGAGAGGUAGAUGGAAUUGGUGGUGUAGGGGUAAAAUCCGUAGAUAUCACCAGGAAUACCGAUUGCGAAGGCGAUCUACUGGAACAUUAUUGACGCUGAGGCAUGAAAGCGUGGGGAGCAAACAGG
rnacentral:rRNA from 1 species